CAGGCCUAACACAUGCAAGUCGAGCGGCAGCGGGUCCUUCGGGAUGCCGGCGAGCGGCGGACGGGUGAGUAAUGCCUAGGAAUCUGCCUGGUAGUGGGGGAUAACUCGGGGAAACUCGAGCUAAUACCGCAUACGUCCUACGGGAGAAAGUGGGGGAUCUUCGGACCUCACGCUAUCAGAUGAGCCUAGGUCGGAUUAGCUAGUUGGUGAGGUAAAGGCUCACCAAGGCGACGAUCCGUAACUGGUCUGAGAGGAUGAUCAGUCACACUGGAACUGAGACACGGUCCAGACUCCUACGGGAGGCAGCAGUGGGGAAUAUUGGACAAUGGGCGAAAGCCUGAUCCAGCCAUGCCGCGUGUGUGAAGAAGGUCUUCGGAUUGUAAAGCACUUUAAGUUGGGAGGAAGGGCAGUAAGUUAAUACCUUGCUGUUUUGACGUUACCAACAGAAUAAGCACCGGCUAACUUCGUGCCAGCAGCCGCGGUAAUACGAAGGGAGCAAGCGUUAAUCGGAAUUACUGGGCGUAAAGCGCGCGUAUGUGGUUCACCAAGUUGGAGGUGAAAACCCCGGGCUCAACGCUGGGAACUGCCUCCACAACUACUGGGCUAUAGUAUGGGAGAGGGGGG
rnacentral:rRNA from 1 species